rnacentral:rRNA from 1 species
GAUGAACGCUAGCUAUAGGCUUAACACAUGCAAGUCGAGGGGAAACGGCAUUAUGUGCUUGCACAUUUUGGACGUCGACCGGCGCACGGGUGAGUAUCGCGUAUCCAACCUGCCCUUUACUUGGGGAUACCCCGUUGAAAGACGGCCUAAUACCCGAUGUAAUUCAUUGAUGGCAUCAGAUAUGAAUAAAAGAUUUAUCGGUAAAGGAUGGGGAUGCGUCUGAUUAGCUUGUUGGUGAGGUAAAGGCUCACCAAGGCGACGAUCAGUAGGGGUUCUGAGAGGAAGGUCCCCCACAUUGGAACUGAGACACGGUCCAAACUCCUACGGGAGGCAGCAGUGAGGAAUAUUGGUCAAUGGGCGCAAGCCUGAACCAGCCAAGUAGCGUGCAGGAAGACGGCCCUAUGGGUUGUAAACUGCUUUUAUACGAGAAUAAUUUGAUGCACGUGUGCGUUAUUGCAUGUAUCGUAUGAAUAAGGACCGGCUAAUUCCGUGCCAGCAGCCGCGGUAAUACGGAAGGUCCAGGCGUUAUCCGGAUUUAUUGGGUUUAAAGGGUGCGUAGGCGGCCUGUUGAGUCAGCGGUGAAAUCUAGGAGCUUAACUCCUAAAUUGCCAUUGAUACUGGCGGGCUUGAGUGUAGAUGAGGUAGGCGGAAUGCGUGGUGUAGCGGUGGAAUGCAUAGAUAUCACGCAGAACUCCGAUUGCGAAGGCAGCUUACUAAGGUACAACUGACGCUGAAGCACGAAAGCGUGGGUAUCAAACAGG